GAAAUGCGAUAAGUAAUGUGAAUUGCAGAAUUCAGUGAAUCAUCGAAUCUUUGAACGCACAUUGCGCCCGCCAGUAUUCUGGCGGGCAUGCCUGUUCGAGCGUCAUUUCAACCAUCAAGCCCCGCGCUUGUGUUGGGGACCUGCGGCUGCCGCAGACCCUGAAAACCAGUGGCGGGCUCGCUGUCACACCGGGCGUAGUAGAUUUUAUCUCGCUCAGGGCGUGCUGCGGGUUCCGGCCGUUAAAAAGCCUUUUUUACCCAAGGUUGACCUCGGAUCAGGUAGGAAGACCCGCUGAACUUAAGC
rnacentral:misc_RNA from 1 species